UGGGGAAUUUUGGACAAUGGGCGAAAGCCUGAUCCAGCAAUGCCGCGUGUGUGAAGAAGGCCUUCGGGUUGUAAAGCACUUUUGUCCGGAAAGAAAUCCUUGGCUCUAAUACAGUCGGGGGAUGACGGUACCGGAAGAAUAAGCACCGGCUAACUACGUGCCAGCAGCCGCGGUAAUACGUAGGGUGCAAGCGUUAAUCGGAAUUACUGGGCGUAAAGCGUGCGCAGGCGGUUUGCUAAGACCGAUGUGAAAUCCCGGGCUCAACCUGGAACUGCAUUGGUGACUGGCAGGCUAGAGUAUGGCAGAGGGGGGUAGAAUUCCACGUGUAGCAGUGAAAUGCGUAGAGAUGUGGAGGAAUACCGAUGGCGAAGGCAGCCCCCUGGCCAAGUACUGACGCUCAUGCACGAAAGCGUGGGGAGCAAACAGGAUUAGAUACCCUGGUAGUCCACGCCCUAAACGAUGUCAACUAGUUGUUGGGGAUUCAUUUCCUUAGUAACGUAGCUAACGCGUGAAGUUGACCGCCU
rnacentral:rRNA from 1 species